rnacentral:pre_miRNA from 9 species
UCUCGAUAGCGUAUAAGUUAACUGAAAUUUGUAUGGAGUUGGAACGUUUGCCGCUAGGAGCGUUGUUCCAACUGCAUAUAAAUUUGAGUUAACUUUUACUCUAUCGA